rnacentral:rRNA from 1 species
AAUAAGCGGAGGGAAAAGAAACUAACAAGGAUUCCCCUAGUAACUGCGAGUGAAGCGGGAAAAGCUCAAAUUUCAAAUCUGGCGGUUACGCCGUCCGAGUUGUAUUCUGGAGAAGCGUUUUCCGUGCCGGACCGUGUACAAGUCCCUUGGAACAGGGCGUCGUAGAGGGUGAGAAUCCCGUCUUUGACACGGACCGCCGGCGCUAUGCGAUGCGCUCUCGACGAGUCGAGUUGUUUGGGAAUGCAGCUCAAAAUGGGUGGUAAAUUCCAUCUAAAGCUAAAUAUUGGCGAGAGACCGAUAGCGAACAAGUACCGUGAGGGAAAGAUGAAAAGCACUUUGGAAAGAGAGUAAAACAGUACGUGAAAUUGUUGAAAGGGAAACGCUUGAAGUCAGUCGCGUCUGCCGGAACUCAGCCUUGCUUCUGCUUGGCGCACUUUCCGGCCCGACGGGCCAGCAUCGGUUUUGGGUGUCGGACACUGGCGAGGGGAAGGUGGCAGCUCCGGCUGUGUUAUAGCCCCUCGUCGCAAACGCCGCCYGGGACCGAGGAAUCCGGCGCAAGCCUGGGAUGCUGGCGUAAUGGCUUUAAACGACCCGUCUUGAAACACGGACCAAGGAGUGCUACGUGCUCGCGAGUGUUUGGGUGGAAAACCCAGACGCGCAAUGAAAGUGAAAGUCGAUACCCCUCGCGGGGGCACCGACGCCCGAGCCUGAUGUUUUCGGAAGGCCUUGCGGUAGAGCGAGUGCGUUGCGACCCGAAAGAUGGUGAACUAUUCCUGAGCAGGGCGAAGCCAGAGGAAACUCUGGUGGAGGCUCGUAGCGGUUCUGACGUGCAAAUCGAUCGCAGGACUUGGGUAUAGGGGCGAAAGACUAAUCGAACCAUCUAGUAGCUGGUUCCUGCCGAAGUUUCCCUCAGGAUAGCAGAAGCUCAUAUCAGAUUUAUGUGGUAAAGCGAAUGAUUAGAGGCCUUGGGGUUGAAACAACCUUAACCUAUUCUCAAACUUUAAAUAUGUAAGGACGAGCCGUCUCUUGAUUGGACCGCUCGACGAUUGAGAGCUUCUAGUGGGCCAUUUUUGGUAAGCAGAACUGGCGAUGCGGGAUGAACCGAUCGCGAGGUUAAGGUGCCGGAAUGCACGCUCAUCAGACACCACAAAAGGUGUUAGUUCAUCUAGACAGCAGGACGGUGGCCAUGGAAGUCGGAACCCGCUAAGGAGUGUGUAACAACUCACCUGCCGAAUGAACUAGCCCUGAAAAUGGAUGGCGCUCAAGCGUGCUACCCAUACCUCGCCGUCGGCGUUGAAGUGACGCGCCGACGAGUAGGCAGGCGUGGGGGUCUGUGAAGAAGCCUAGGCAGCGAUGCUGGGUGAAACGGCCCCUAGUGC